GCCGACGUAGCUCAGUGGUAGAGCAGCGGUUUCGUAAACCGCAGGUCGCCGGAUCAUACCCGGCCGUCGGCUCCA
rnacentral:tRNA from 1 species